CUGCUCCCGUGCUCGCCUGCUCGGUGCUCCGGACUCCGCCGGCUAGACAACGGCGGGUCGGUGGUGCUCCACUGCUUCGGGCUCCGGGCGAGCGCGCUCGGCGGCUCGGGCUGCUGCGGCCUGCGGCUCCUGCGCAGCUGCGCCUGCGCUCCGCGGCUGCUGGCUGGCACCUCCGCGCGUGGCGGACUGGCGGUGGCGGGCGAGCGAGCCUGGCGGAGUGGCGGUGGCGUCCUGGCGCUGGCGGGCCACGGGCGAGUGUGCAGCGCGCUAGUCUGGAGAGGUGCCGAGGCGGCCAGGUGA
rnacentral:misc_RNA from 1 species